UGGGGAAUCUUGGACAAUGGGCGCAAGCCUGAUCCAGCCAUGCCGCGUGUGUGAAGAAGGCCUUUUGGUUGUAAAGCACUUUAAGCGAGGAGGAGGCUACUUGGAUUAAUACUCUAAGAUAGUGGACGUUACUCGCAGAAUAAGCACCGGCUAACUCUGUGCCAGCAGCCGCGGUAAUACAGAGGGUGCGAGCGCUAAUCGGAUUUACUGGGCGUAAAGCGUGCGUAGGCGGCUUCUUAAGUCGGAUGUGAAAUCCCUGAGCUUAACUUAGGAAUUGCAUUCGAUACUGGGAAGCUAGAGUAUGGGAGAGGAUGGUAGAAUUCCAGGUGUAGCGGUGAAAUGCGUAGAGAUCUGGAGGAAUACCGAUGGCGAAAGCAGCCAUCUGGCCUAAUACUGACGCUGAGGUACGAAAGCAUGGGGAGCAAACAGG
rnacentral:rRNA from 1 species